UUUUCCACAUAAAUUGGGAAUUAGGGAUUUAGAAAAAGAACAUUACUCGAAGAGGUAUUGGGGUUGAGUUCAGAAUCGUCUUGAAAAAAAGAAGAGCAGAAGGGUUCCAGUCUUUCAGAUUGAAAUACUAAACAAGAAACGGACGCGCACCGCAACUCCACACAUCACCGCCGCGAGCCUCCACUCGUUCCUCUCUCGCGAAUACGAACGACCUCCCUCUUCUCAAUUUCCAAUGUCUCUGAAUCUCUACCGAGCCGCCAUUGAUGGCCUCAUCCAAGGUCGACUCGUUGAUUUUUGGCUGUAGUGGCAAAUGUUGUCUUGUGGUCGACACGAUGCCUCAAGCAUUUCUAGC
rnacentral:lncRNA from 1 species